GUACGUGAGUGUUCACGGUAAGCGCGCUCACAGCAGGUACAGUAGGAAUGUGGAUAUUAUCCCGUCAGCAGAGGGACAGUGAAUGGGAGUCCUGUCGCGAAUCGGGGGAAACGGAUACUUUAGGGAAAGCACGAGCCACUUCCGUGUUUUCCUGCUUCUUCACAUCUGGACAUGUUAAUCAUCUCACUUGCGCUUCAGAGGAACAUGCUGCUGGAAAACAGGAGCUUGAGGUUCUUCGCUGGUUUGCUGGUUCUCCUUCAGUCCAGUUCAUAUGUGACCGGAGCUGAUCAUGAUUCCAGACCCAACUUCGUCCUGAUGAUGGUGGACGAUCUGGGCAUUGGAGACAUCGGUUGCUAUGGAAACGACACCAUCAGACACCAAACAUCGAUGGUCUGGCGGCAGACGGAGUGAGACUGACUCAGCACCUCGCCGCCGCUCCUCUCUGUACUCCCAGCAGAACCGCCUUCAUGACGGGACGCUACGCUCUGCGCGCCGGUCUGGGCAGCACAGGCAGAGUUCAGGUGAUUCUGUUUCUUGCUGGAUCUGGAGGACUUCUACCGAAUGAAACCACCUUCGCCCAAACUUCUGCAGAAGCAGGGUUACACCACCGGCAUUGUGGGUAAGACUGAAUCAGUCACAGAGAUGUACAGUCAAGUCACGCUUUAUACAAUACAGAUCAUUCUGAAGCAGCUUCACAGUGAUGAACAGGAGAAUCAAACACGAGACUGAUUCAAAUUCUGCUGUAAAGCUCGAGUCAGAAAUGUUAGAAAUGAUAGCAU